GGGGAAUAUUGCACAAUGGGCGAAAGCCUGAUGCAGCAACGCCGCGUGAGUGAUGAAGGCCUUCGGGUUGUAAAGCUCUGUCUUCUGGGACGAUAAUGACGGUACCAGAGGAGGAAGCCACGGCUAACUACGUGCCAGCAGCCGCGGUAAUACGUAGGUGGCAAGCGUUGUCCGGAUUUACUGGGCGUAAAGGAUGCGUAGGCGGAUACUUAAGUCAGAUGUGAAAAUCCCGGGCUUAACUUGGGAACUGCAUUUGAAACUGGGUAUCUAGAGUGCGGGAUAGGAAAGUGGAAUUCCUAGUGUAGCGGUGAAAUGCGUAGAGAUUGGGAAGAACACCAGUCGCGAAGGCGACUUUCUGGACCGUAACUGACGCUGAGGCAUGAAAGCGUGGGGAGCAAACA
rnacentral:rRNA from 1 species